UACGGAGGGGGCUAGCGUUGUUCGGAAUUACUGGGCGUAAAGCGCGCGUAGGCGGACCUGCAAGUCGGGGGUGAAAGCCCGAGGCUCAACCUCGGAACUGCCUUCGAUACUGCGGGUCUCGAGUCCGGGAGAGGUGAGUGGAAUUCCUAGUGUAGAGGUGAAAUUCGUAGAUAUUAGGAAGAACACCGGUGGCGAAGGCGGCCACCUGGACGGUAACUGACGCUGAGACGCGAAAGCGUGGGGAGCAAACAGG
rnacentral:rRNA from 1 species